CGCCCUUAGAGUUUGAUCCUGGCUCAGAACGAACGCUGGCGGCGUGGAUAAGACAUGCAAGUCGAACGGGAUCUUGAAUGUAGCAAUACAAUCAAGGUUCAGUGGCGUAAGGGUGAGUAACACGUGGGCAAUUUGCCGGAAAGUGGGGAAUAGCUCGCCGAAAGGCGAAUUAAUACCGCAUGUGGCCAUUCUCCGCAUGGAGAAAAAGCCAAAGCUGGGGAUCGCAAGACCUGGCGCUUUCCGAUGAGCCCGCGGCCUAUCAGCUUGUUGGCGGGGUAAUGGCCCACCAAGGCAAUGACGGGUAGCUGGUCUGAGAGGACGACCAGCCACACUGGAACUGAGACACGGUCCAGACACCUACGGGUGGCAGCAGUCGAGAAUCUUUCUCAAUGGGGGAAACCCUGAAGGAGCGACGCCGCGUGGAGGAUGAAGGUCUUCGGAUUGUAAACUCCUGUCAUGAGAGAACAAGGUCUUCCGGUGAACAGCCGGAAGGAUUGAUAGUAUCUCAAGAGGAAGAGACGGCUAACUCUGUGCCAGCAGCCGCGGUAAUACAGAGGUCUCAAGCGUUGUUCGGAUUCAUUGGGCGUAAAGGGUGCGUAGGCGGCGAGGUAAGUCGGGCGUGGAAUCCCGGGGCUCAACCCCGGAACUGCGUUCGAUACUGCUUCGCUAGAGGACUGGAGAGGAGACUGGAAUUCACGGUGUAGCAGUGAAAUGCGUAGAUAUCGUGAGGAACACCGGGUGGCGAAGGCGGGUCUCUAGACAGUUCCUGACGCUGAGGCAC
rnacentral:rRNA from 1 species